AGCGGGUAGGUGUAUAGUGCACGAGAAGGUUUGGUUUUCUAGGGUGCCUGUCUAGUGGCAACCCGC
rnacentral:tRNA from 1 species